rnacentral:rRNA from 1 species
AUGGGGUGCUUCGCCUUCAAGAGCGGCAAGGGCCGUCGGCGGCCGGCUGGCGGCGGCAAGCCUCCGGCGGAGCCGAAGCCGGACGGGCCGAAGCGGAGCAAGGCGUCCUCGUCGUCGGCGUCGACGCCGACGAGGAGCAUCCAGGAGCUGUCGGAGGAGCGGGGCGCGGCGCGGCUGCGCGUGUUCGGGCUGGAGGAGCUCGGCAGCGCCACCAACGGCUUCAGCCGCGCGCUCAAGAUCGGCGAGGGCGGCUUCGGCUCCGUCUACCGCGCCUUCUUCCGCUCCGCCGCCGGCGGCCGCGUCGUCCUCGCCGUCAAGCGCCUCAACCAGCGCAGCCUGCAGGGGCACAAGCAGUGGCUUGCCGAGGUGCAGUUCCUGGGCGUCCUGGAGCACCCGAACCUGGUGAAGCUCGUGGGCUACUGCGCGGUGGACUCGGAGGCGAGCAAGCACCGGCUGCUGGUGUACGAGUUCAUGCCCAACAAGACCCUGGACGACCACCUCUUCAGCCGAGCCCACCCGCCGCUCCCCUGGAGGACGAGGCUGCAGGUCAUGGCCGGCGCCGCGCGCGGCCUCGACUACCUCCACCGCGGCCUCCCGGAAGUCCAGGUGAUAUACAGGGACUUCAAGGCGUCGAACGUGCUGCUGGACGGCGAGUUCCGGCCGAAGCUGUCGGACUUCGGGCUGGCGCGGGAGGGCCCGACGGAGGGGCGGACGCACGUGUCGACGGCGGUGGUGGGCACGCACGGCUACGCGGCGCCGGACUACAUCGAGACGGGGCACCUCACGGUGAAGAGCGACGUGUGGGGGUUCGGGGUGGUGCUGUACGAGAUCCUGACGGGGCGGCGGUCGGUGGAGCGCAGCCGGCCGGCGGAGGAGCAGAAGCUGCUGGGGUGGGUGCGCCGGCACCCGCCCGGAGGGGACAGCUUCAGGACCAUCAUGGACCCGCGGCUGGGCGGGCGGUACCCGCUGGCCGCCGCGCGCGACGCGGCGAGGCUGGCCGACCGCUGCCUCGGCAAGAACCCCAAGGAGCGGCCGGCCAUGGCGGAGGUCGUGGAGGAGCUCGAGCGGGUGCUGCGGAUGGAGCCGGCCCCGCCUCCGGCUCCGGCGACACCCAAGAGGUGA